UUCUACAGCCAUGCCACCCUGAACAAGCCCAAUCCCAUCUGCUCUCAGAAGCUAAGCAAGGUCGGGCCUGGUUAGUACUUGGAUGGGAGACCACCUAGGAAGACCAGAUGCUAUAGGUG
rnacentral:rRNA from 1 species